CCUAGAGUUGUAGGCUUUGCCUGCUAUCUCUUACCCAUGUCUUUUGAGUACCUUACGUUUCCUCGGUGGGUUCGCCCACCGAUUGGACAAACUUAAACCCUUUGCAGUUGAAAUCAGCGUCUGGAAAAACUUAAUAGUUA
rnacentral:misc_RNA from 1 species